rnacentral:snRNA from 1 species
AGCUUUGCACAGUGGCAGUAUUGUAGCCAAUGAGGUUUAUCUGAGGCGUGAUUAUUGCUAAUUGAAAAUUGAGUAUGUUGCCA